rnacentral:rRNA from 1 species
UACAGAGGUCUCAAGCGUUGUUCGGAUUCAUUGGGCGUAAAGGGUGCGUAGGCGGCGCGGUAAGUCGGGUGUGAAAUCUCGGGGCUUAACUCCGAAACUGCAUUCGAUACUGCCGUGCUUGAGGACUGGAGAGGAGACUGGAAUUUACGGUGUAGCAGUGAAAUGCGUAGAUAUCGUAAGGAAGACCGGUGGCGAAGGCUAGUCUCUGGACAGUUACUGACACUGAGGCACGAAGGCCAGGGGAGCAAACGGG